rnacentral:lncRNA from 1 species
GGCGGUGAGGUCUGCGCUUUUCGGUGGGGUUUUGCUUGCGUUGAUUGAAGGAGCCGGGAUUGCGUUGAAUAAGAUGUUGGCUCAGCCUCAGCAUAUGCAGAUGGAGGAGGGGAUGAUGCCUGGAAUGCCGGGGAUGCAGAUGGGGCAGGUGCCUGGGAUGCAGAUGCCGAGUCAGGUUCAGGCGCAGGCGAUACCGGAGGAUACUUCUUCGUCGUCGUCGUCAUGGUUGGGAGGGCUAUUUGGUAAGAAGAAUGAUGAG